rnacentral:rRNA from 1 species
ACGGGUGCGUAACGCGUAUGCAACCUACCUUAAUCUGGGGGAUAGCCCGGAGAAAUCCGGAUUAAUACCGCAUAAAAUCACAGGAUGGCAUUAUCCAAUGAUCAAACAUUUAUGGGAUUGAGAUGGGCAUGCGUGUCAUUAGCUAGUUGGCGGGGUAACGGCCCACCAAGGCGACCAUUACAAGGGGAUCUGAGAGGAUGGCCCCCCACACUGGUACUGAGACACGGACCAAACCCCUACGGGAGGCAGCAGUAAGGAAUAUUGGUCAAUGGAGGCAACUCUGAACCAGCCAUGCCGCGUGCAGGAAGACUGCCCUAUGGGUUGUAAACUGCUUUUAUCCGGGAAUAAACCUAUCUACGUGUACUUAGCUGAAUGUACCGGAAGAAUAAGGAUCGGCUAACUCCGUGCCAGCAGCCGCGGUAAUACGGAGGAUCCAAGCGUUAUCCGGAUUUAUUGGGUUUAAAGGGUGCGUAGGCGGCCUGUUAAGUCAGGGGUGAAAGACGGUAGCUCAACUAUCGCAGUGCCCUUGAUACUGAUGGGCUUGAAUGGACUAGAGGUAGGCGGAAUGAGACAAGUAGCGGUG